rnacentral:tRNA from 1 species
GAUUUUAUAUUCAAUAUAUGAUAUUAGAUUGCAAAUCUAAAGUAGUUAAUAACUAAAAUCU